rnacentral:rRNA from 1 species
AGAAGGCCCGAGGGUUGUAAAGCACUUUCAAUUGUGAGGAAGGUAGUGUAGUUAAUACCUGCAUUGCUUGACGUUAACUUUAGAAGAAGCACCGGCUAACUCUGUGCCAGCAGCCGCGGUAAUACAGAGGGUGCAAGCGUUAUUCGGAAUUACUGGGCGUAAAGCGCGCGUAGGCGGACUAUUAAGUCAGUUGUGAAAGCCCUGGGCUCAACCUAGGAACUGCAUCUGAUACUGGUAGUCUAGAGUUUAGGAGAGGGAAGUGGAAUUCCAGGUGUAGCAGUGAAAUGCGUAGAUAUCUGGAGGAACAUCAGUGGCGAAGGCGACUUCCUGGCCUAAAACUGACGCUGAGGUGCGAAAGCACUGGGUAGCGAACGGGAUU